GCAAGUCGAGCGAGAAAGUACUUCGGUACGAGUACAGCGGCGGACGGGUGAGUAACGCGUAGGAAUCUACCUAGUAGUGGGGGACAACUCGUGGAAACGCGAGCUAAUACCGCAUACGCCCUAAGGGGGAAAGCGGGGGAUCUUCGGACCUCGUGCUAUUAGAUGAGCCUGCGUAAGAUUAGCUAGUUGGUGGGGUAAAAGCCUACCAAGGCGACGAUCUUUAGCUGGUCUGAGAGGAUGAUCAGCCACACCGGGACUGAGACACGGCCCGGACUCCUACGGGAGGCAGCAGUCGGGAAUAUUGCGCAAUGGGCGAAAGCCUGACGCAGCCAUGCCGCGUGUGUGAAGAAGGCCCUAGGGUUGUAAAGCACUUUCAAUUGGGAGGAAAAGCUAAUGGUUAAUAGCCAUUAGCCCUGACGUUACCUUUAGAAGAAGCACCGGCUAACUCCGUGCCAGCAGCCGCGGUAAUACGGAGGGUGCAAGCGUUAAUCGGAAUUACUGGGCGUAAAGCGCGCGUAGGCGGCUCUUUAAGUCGGAUGUGAAAGCCCCGGGCUCAACCUGGGAACUGCAUUCGAUACUGGGGAGCUAGAGUGUAGGAGAGGGAGGUAGAAUUCCAUGUGUAGCAGUGAAAUGCGUAGAUAUAUGGAGGA
rnacentral:rRNA from 1 species